CCUAGCUUCGGCUAGACAUAUACUAAAAUUGGAACGAUACAGAGAAGAUUAGCAUGGCCCCUGCGCAAGGCAGAUUUCUCAUCCGUUGCAAGAUCAUGAAUCCAU